rnacentral:lncRNA from 1 species
CCCCAAUUAUGAAUUAUAAAUCAAUUAUCCAAUUAUCCCAAUUAUUAUGCCUACUGAAUUGUUAACAGGAAUUCUCAAAUGCCAAAAGUCCUUUUCCAAGUGAUCAAUUGCCUUCUAUUUAAUCCAGAUUAAUUUUGCUAUAUUCCUAUGCAAAACAAUUGAAUUAAACUCGUUACAAUCCCAAUUCCUUAUGUGUUACAUGCGGCGAAAAGAUAUUUCCAUUCUAUUUACAAACCUAAU